UUCAUUGAAAAGUUCUUUAAUCAAAAUGUUGAAAACUAAACGGUUAAGUAAAAGUGACAUUUGAAAAUAUUGUCAUAAUAAAUCAAACAACAAAAACCAAAACCUCCUGCUUUGUAAAGUGCAAGAGAGAAAAGAAAAGCUGUACAAAUCUUCUCACCAGCCCCUUUAAGUACAAGAACAAAGAACUCAACAGAUUUGGAGGAUUAAAAUAAAGACUUUGUUUCAAGUUGAAAUUAAAACACAUUCUAAGAUCUUGUGUACUACUUCGUUGUUAACUUCACCACAUUUCUUCCUGGUUGUAGGGCAAUACAGCACAAGAGCAGUCAAUUGUAACUGAUUCAAUAGUUGGAGAGCGAUUAUUAAUGACAUAAAUGUAUUGACAACUAUAAGUCAAAGUAGAAAAAAAAAAAGGGUUUCAAAUAAAAUGUCAAAAAAAAAAAUUUAUUGGCAUCUGUAAUAGAAGUAUGUACUGGUAUCAAUGUACUUGUGUACCUACUUAAUGAUAAUAAUGUAAAAAAACAAAACAACAACUGGCAACUUAUCUUUCAAUGCCAGUACCUGUACUAAAGAAAAACGUUUUGACUGUUACAUUAAACUAUCCUUCAUCAUAAACAAUGCAGCUCUAAAAUAACAAAUAAUGUUCAACACAUGAAGAUUAUAAAUUGAAUAAGUACAGUAACUGUAAUGUUUUGACUUACUUAAAUAUCAGUAAUUUAUAUGGAAUGCAUCAGAACGAUGUAAGACUAUGGUAAACCUGUAGAUCUUAUAGCCAUUUAUUUCAUUCUUUUAAACAUUAAUUUUCAUUUCAAUUGUUAGCUUCUAUAAAAGAGAAAAAAAAAAGUUCUCAGACAUUCUGAAAGUUUCAAUCUACAGACAGGAUUGAAAACAAGGGGGGGGGGGGGGG